UAAGUUUGAAGUUUAUGUUAUGAUUCAAAAUUCUAUCAAUGUCUUAAUUCAAGUUGCAGUAUAAGGCCAAUGUCAUAAAAAUAUAAACUUUGUUGUAUUCGGCACACAACUCGAGAAGGGCUCGAUAAAGCCUUGCUCUUCCCAAUGUAUCCUGUAUCAUUCAAAAAAGUUAAUAUUUUUCUAAAACUGACCUGAUAUUGUAUUUACACCAAGCAGCA
rnacentral:lncRNA from 1 species